rnacentral:rRNA from 1 species
CCUGGUUGAUCCUACUGGUAGUCAUAUGCUUUUCUUAAAGAUUAAGCCAUACAUUUGUAAGUAUGAACUGAUUCAGACUAUGAAACUACAAAUAGCUCAUUAAAUCACUUAUAAUUUGUUUGAUCAUAUUUGCUACUCGGAUAAUCGUAGUAAUUCUAAAGCUAAUACAUGCAACAAACUCUCACUUUUGUGAGGGAUGCAUUUAUUAGAUAAAAGGUCGAUGCGGGCUUUGCCCAUUGUUCUGAUGAUUCAUGAUAACUUGAUGGAUCGCAUGGCCAUCGUGCCGACGAUGCAUCAUUUAAAUUUCUGCCCUAUCAAAUUUUGAUGGUAGGAUAGUGGCCUAUUAUGAAGGUGAUGGGUGAUGGAGAAUUAGGGUUUGAUUCUGGAGAGGGAGCCUGAGAAAUAGCUACGACAUCCAAGGAAGGUAGCAGGUGCGCAAAUUACCCAAUCCUGACACAGGGAGGUAAUGAUAAUAAAUAACAAUAACAGGCUCAUUGAGUUUGGUAAUUGAAAUGAUUAUGAUAUAAAUCCCUUAAUGAUGAUCCAUUGGAGGGCAAGUCUGGUGCCAGCAGCUGCAGUAAUUCCAACUCCAAUAGUGUAUAUUUAAGUUGUUGUAGUUAAAAAACUCAUAGUUGGACUUUGGGUUAGGUCGACUAGCCUACCUCACGAUGUGCACUGAUUAGCUCCUCCCUUUUAUCGGCGAUAUGCUCCUCACCUUAACUAGCUGAGUCGUGCCUCCAAUGCUGUUACUUUAAAGAAAUUAGAGUGCUCAAAGCAAGCCUACGCUUUAUAUAUAUUAGUAUGGGAUAACAUCGUAGGAUUCUAGUCCUAUUAUGUUAGCCUUCGAGAUCAGAGUAAUGAUUAACAGAGAUAGUUGAGAGCAUUUGUAUUUCAUAGUCAUUGGUGAAAUUCUUGAUUCUUGCAUUCAUGAAAGAUGAACAAUUGCAAAAACAUACCACCACCCUCAGUGGCGUAGUUGGCUCGGGCUCUCCCCCCUCACGAAUGGGAGAAGUUCGAAUCCUAAAGGCAUCGUUAGAGAUUCUUACCUGGAGUACUGUGGUGGUGGGUCCUGCAAUUGCUCCCCCAGAGUUUGCUCAUCAGCUGUCAGCUUACGAGGUUCCCUAGGUUACCAAAAAAACAAAAAAAACAACUGCAAAAACAUUUGUUAAUGAUGUUUUCAUUAAUUAAGAACGAAAGUUGGGAGCUCAAAGAUGAUAAGAUACUGUCUUAGUCUCAAUCAUAAAUGAUGCCGACUAGGGAUCGGCGGAUGUUGCUUUUGGGACUCUACCGGCACCUUAUGAGAAAUCAAAGUUUUUGGGUUCCAAAAGGAGUAUGGUUGCAAGGCUGAAAGUUAAAGGAAUUGAUGAAAGGGCAUCACUAGGAGUGGAGCUUAUGACUUAAUUUGAAUCAACAUAAGGAAACUUACCAGGUCCAGACAUAAUAAGGAUUAGCGGACUGAUGGCUCUUUCUUAAUUCUAUGGGUGGUGGUGCAUGGCCAUUCUUAGUUGGUGGAGUGAUAUGUCUAGUUAAUUUCGACCAUGAACAAGACCUCAGCUUGCUAACUAGCUAUAUGGAUGUACAUCACCAUGGUCAUGCAUGGGAUUGAUCCCAAUGUGGAAAAACAAAUGUUGUCUUAUGAGAAGAUUGAGGAAGAAGAGAAGCUUUAUAUGGUUAACUUUACAUCAACAAAUAUUACCGAGAGAGGAAAGGUGAUCUUGAAAUUCCCUUUGGCAAGGAAACCACCUUGCUAAUUUGCUGCAUGUACUGGAGAUCCGAAAGGAAUCUAAUUUCUA